rnacentral:lncRNA from 1 species
UUUGUAACAUAUAACAUCAUUUCUUUAAAAAAACAGCACACAGAGAGUUGCGUUAUGUUGAGCCAGACUUUUGAUUCUUCUCUACCUUGAUAUUGGCACUCCCAAGUUUGUUCCUAGCUCAUACCUGGAGAUGCUGGGAAUUGCACCUAGGACCUUUUGCAUGGAAAGCGUCGUCUUCUGCCUCUGAGCUAGAGCCCCUCCCUCAAACAUUGGACCCAGUUCUCCUGGUCUGGGAAUUUGAACCCAGGACCUCUUGGAGCCAAGGUAAGAAUAAUACACCAAGACUAAUGGUGGCUAAGCUGUAGCAUUCCAGAGGUUGUCGGACUACAACUCUCACCAGCCCCAGCCAGCCUGACCAAUAGUCGGGACAAAUGGGAGUUCUAGUCAGUAACACAGAGGAUCACAGGUUAGCCACCCCUUUACUUUAGUUUACAGGCAUCUGUUGGGGAUGACAGAGGUAUAGGAUGUUGUUUCUCGGGACAAGGGAAUAGGCCAGAAGAACUACUUCCAUUAUGCAUGCAAGCUGGAAGUGCUUAUUUAUUAGUAAAGGUAAACGGACUCCUGACCAUUAGGUCCAGUCAUGGCCGACUUGGGGUUGUGGCCCUCAUCUCGCUUUAUUGGCCGAGGGAGCCGGCAUACAGCUUCUGGGUCAUGUGGCCAGCAUGACUAAGCCACUUCUGGCAAACCAGAGCAGCACACGGAAACGCCGUUUACCUUCCUGCCGGAGCGGUACCUAUUUAUCUAUUUGCACUUCGUGCUUUCGAACUGCUAGGUUGGCAGGAGCAGGGACAGAGUAACAGGAGCUCAUGCCAUCGCGGGGAUUCGAACCCUUCUUUAUUUCUUUUCUCUGCAACUUCCAUCAGCACCAGCCUGUAUGGCCAAUGGUAAGGGAUGACUGGAAUUGUAGUCCAAAAAACAUCUGGAGGGCCACAGGUUCCCCAUCCCUGUUCCGGAGCAAGCGAAUUUGUUCCAUUGUCUCUCUGGCAAAACUAUUGAGAACUGCAGCCUUAAUUACGUCAAAGCUAGGCCAUGGCUUAAGUAGUUUUCUGGCAGGGUUCCCUGCAACCAUUUCUUUCUGAAAGAUGCCAUUACUGUAACCUCCCUGCACCCAAGUGCUUUUUAUUACUAAGCUGUGAUGGCUAAAUGGAGCCUCUUCGUUUGGAAUUGGUGUCAGUUCCUUGGGAGGGCUCUUUCCAUAGACAUCAGAUUGGCCACUGGUGGAUGCUGAACUAGAUAAAUGGUUGAUGUGAUUCCUCAGGGCUCUUCUUAUGUCCUUCUCAUUAAACACGUUGUAUUUUUGAAGUGUAAACACUUCCUAAUAUUAAAUAGAGUUUACGUAGUCUUGUUACUGAUAUGUGACAAUAAGCCAAAUAAGCUAGCAAUCCUGGCUUCUCAGAAGGAAAAAAUCCAUGAUCCAUGGAUCAAAAUAACACCAAGCUAUACCCUUUGUGGUGCAUUUACUUGUUCAUGCAAAAGUAGAAGCAAAGUGACAGCAAUCAGUGUGCUCUAGUAUGUAGUUUGUGCACAGUAUGGUUGGUUGGCUUAUCAUUUUUAGCAAAUGUGCCCUCUAUGUGAGUGGUUCUGACAACCUUUAGUAUAGCAGCUCAUGCGUGAACAGAGAUUUGAACUAGGGACCCAAUGACCCCUAAUUCAUUGCUUUAACAUCCUAAACCAUACCAGCUUCCUAUGCAAUAUUUUAUCUUGCCAAUCCUUAUGCCAUUGUUAUUUCCAGUAGAUAAGUGAGUCCAAGUCUGAAAUGGGAUUUAAACCACCAUUUCAGGGCUGCUGAAAUGGGCAUUCAGGGUCAUAAGACCCCAACUGCUGUGGGUCAGUCUUCUGACACGAGUUGGGAGUGGGCACAGAAGAGAAGCCAACACAGUGUAACGAAACAUAUACUGUGGUACCUCGGGUUAAGUACUUAAUUCGUUCUGGAGGUCUGUUCUUAACCUGAAGCACCACUUUAGCUAAUGGGGCCUCCUGCUGCUGCUGCGCCACCGCUGCACGAUUUCUGUUCUCAUCCUGAAGCAAAGUGCUUAACCAGAGGUAAUAUUUCUGGGUUAGCGGAGUCUGUAACCUGAAGCGUAUGUAACCUGAGGUACCACUGUACCUAGUUAGAAGUGAUUCCCAAACUAAUUAUUCCAGCCUCCUGCUUAGGCAGGAAAUCUGCUAUUGCAUCCCUGAUAGUGGGGCUGGCCCUACCAUUAGGGAGAACGAGGUGGCUCUCAAGUGGCAGAUUUGGGGGUGUGGGAGGAGUGCUGAGGUUUUAGAAAACAGAAGAGUCUUUGCCACAUGACCUGCCCUGUACCUUCUAAGCCAGGUAUGUCCAACUCUCUGGAGACUGCAGUCUACUUACGGUAUAAUAAAACUGGCAGUGAUCUACUCAUUGUUAUUGCAUUGCCCAGAGUUGUUGAGCUUUUGGGGGAGGAGGACAGAGGUUUUUUUUGGCGGGGGGCUGGCAGUCAGGAUCAACCAAGAACACCUCGCGAUCGAAGCAGUAGAUCAUGAUCGACCGGUUGGACAUGCCUGUUCUAAGCUAUCCCACAGCCCCUAGAUACAGUGCAGACGUCCAGUCACCAGCAUUGAAGUAAGAUUUGACUGUCAAUCUUGUCAGCUUCUUCACAUGGGAUGGUGGGGGUACCAUCUUGUUGAUUGCCUCAGGCUGUCAACUGUUUUGAGCCAGUCUUGUAAGGCUGGGAUAAGGCCUCUUGCCUUAACCAAGUUGCUUAAUUUCCCACAACUUGAUAGGAAAAUUUCCCCACUAGAGGGCAGGCACAGCCUUUUUCAAAUUCCUGCCAUUUUCUUCUAGAGCCCUGGAAUUCAGUGUUGAAUUUCCUUCCUUUUAUCUAACUCCUAAUCACAUACUUAAGUGCAAGCUUCACUUGAAAUAGCCAGAAAAGUCCCACUGGUUUUAAAUUUCAGAAUUUGACCCUCCAUUUCCUGAUAGAUUAUAGCUCCUAGUCAGCCCAGCCAGUAGUCAGGGGAUGAUGGGAUUGGUAGUCAAACAACUUCUGGAAGGCCACAGAUUCCCAAUCCCUGGAAUAUUCUGUUGUCACUUCUUGUGAAAGGCACAGGAGCAUGUCCAGAAAAGGGGAUGAUAACCCUAGUUGGAUCAACAGCAAUGAAAAUUUCUGUUCACUUGAAAAUUUCCACUCCGAGUUGGUGGGGGGAGGAAUGCAUGUUUCUGUUUGUGUUCAGAAGAGAGAGCGCUUCUCGGCUACCCAGUCAUCAAACAUUUUCUGGUUCACCUGAGGCAGCAAAAGGUAAUUGGCCAAACCUGAC